GUGACCUCAAAUCAGGUAGGACUACCCGCUGAACUUAAGCAUAUCAAUAAGCGGAGGAAAAGAAACUAACAAGGAUUCCCCUAGUAACUGCGAGUGAAGCGGGAAAAGCUCAAAUUUAAAAUCUGGCGGUCUUUUGGCUGUCCGAGUUGUAAUCUAGAGAAGUGUUAUCCGCGCUGGACCGUGUACAAGUCUCCUGGAAUGGAGCAUCAUAGAGGGUGAGAAUCCCGUCUUUGACAUGGACUACCAGGGCUUUGUGAUGCGCUCUCAAAGAGUCGAGUUGUUUGGGAAUGCAGCUCAAAAUGGGUGGUAAAUUCCAUCUAAAGCUAAAUAUUGGCGAGAGACCGAUAGCGAACAAGUACCGUGAGGGAAAGAUGAAAAGAACUUUGGAAAGAGAGUUAAACAGUACGUGAAAUUGCUGAAAGGGAAACGCUUGAAGUCAGUCGCGUUGUCCAGGGAUCAACCUUGCUUUUGCUUGGUGCACUUCCUGGUUUGACGGGUCAGCAUCAAUUUUGACCGUUGGAAAAAGGUUAAGGGAAUGUGGCAUCUUCGGAUGUGUUUAUAGCCCUUGGUCACAUACAAUGGUUGGGAUUGAGGAACUCAGCACGCCGCAAGGCCGGGUUAAAACCACGUACGUGCUAGGA
rnacentral:rRNA from 1 species